UACGUAGGGUGCAAGCGUUAAUCGGAAUUACUGGGCGUAAAGCGUGCGCAGGCGGUUGUGCAAGACAGAUGUGAAAUCCCCGGGCUUAACCUGGGAACUGCAUUUGUGACUGCACGGCUAGAGUGCGGCAGAGGGGGAUGGAAUUCCGCGGUGUAGCAGUGAAAUGCGUAGAUAUGCGGAGGAACACCGAUGGCGAAGGCAAUCCCCUGGGCCUGCACUGAC
rnacentral:rRNA from 1 species